ACAUAUUUGGAAUCACCAAUCAGCAAGCUUCAAGAAACAUCUAUUAUCUUUGGAAAUAGAGGUGAAUGACCGAAGAAAGCGUUUGAGUGAAGGGGCUUAUCGCUGGAAACCGUAGUUGCCGAUGCGGAUCAUAUGAUAUUGUAUCCUACAUGGGAGGAUAAUAAAAUAAUUGGGACAUCUCACAUGGGGGGAUUCCCUAUGGUGUACUCACAUGAGGGGUAUACCGGCUCCAAAUCUUGGAAGCUACUUGGAUUGGAGGCUUGGCCGCUGAGCACCAGAGGCGGAUUCCACAUAGUCGUGGAAUUACAAUUGUAAGGUUUGGAGGCACAGUCUAGGGGUCCAGAUAACCUGUAAAUUUCUUCCGACAUAUCACAGAAUUAAGUGGUGAGCCUUCUAUAUUUCGAAAGGACUGAUGUCUGCUAUUUCAUUUAUCAUUUAGUAGUUUUGGAUCUACUGGGGCCUUGUCCCAGUUUUCAGAUAGUUAUCAUUUCAUUCAUGUAGUAGAGAUUUCGCAGAUGGUUUUAGAAAUGUUAAUUUGAGAGUGUGGGACAUUAUUUCCCCAUUAUUGUACGCAUAUGAUUCUUGACCAUGUUUUCGUUAUAUUGUGUAUCUUCCGCA